rnacentral:ncRNA from 1 species
CAUAAAGGCUUGGUCCUGACCUUAAAAUCAGUUUCUACUUAACUUACACAUGCAAGUCUCCGCAUCCCUGUGAAUAUGCCUCUAAACCCUCAUAGGCAAAAGAGAGCGGGUAUCAGGCACACUCUGCCCAAGACACCUAGCAACGCCACACCCACAAGGGCCUUCAGCAGUGAUUAAUAUUAAACAUGAGCUCCAGCUUGAUUUAGUUAAAGUAAACAAGGGCCGGCAAAUCUGGUGCCAGCUGCCGCGGUUACACCAGCGGCCCAAAUUGAUUUCUAUCGGCGUAAAGAGUGGUUAAAAAUUUUACAAAACUAGAGUUAAACACAGAUAGGCCCGUCAAACAUCCAUCUACAGGAAACCCAUAUAACGAAAGUUACUCUAAUCAAUUCUAAUUGAGCCCACGAAAGCUAGGACAUAAACUGGGAUUAGAUACCCCAUUAUACCUCGCCGUAAACUUUAACUUACACCCCCUAAAUCGCCAGGGAACUACGAGCAAAGCUUAAAACCCAAAGGACUUGACGGUGCCCCAUAUCCCCCUAGAGGAGCCUGUCCUAUAACCGAUGAUCCUCGUUUAACCUCACCACUUCUAGCUAAUCAGCUUGUAUACUUCCGUCGCCAGCUUACCACGUGAGCGAAACUCAGUUAGCUCAACUGGCUUACUUGCUUAUCAACACCGCCAAUACGUCAGGUCGAAGUGCAGCAAAUGGGGUGGAAAGAGAUUGGCUACACUUUUUAAAUUAAAAAACAACGAAAGGCAGAUAAUUUGAAACUCUGCCAGAAGGUGGAUUUAGUAGUAAAAAGAAUUCAUUAUAUUCCUUUUAAAUAGGCACUGGAGCGUGUACACACCGCCCGUCACCCUCUUCGACAAAUCAUUAUAGUAUUUAACAACCUACAUACCACCAGAGAAGAGGUAAGUCGUAACAUGGUAAGUAUACCGGAAGGUGUACUUGGAAAC